UUUAAGUUGCGACGAGUUCGACGCGCCGUUCAGGGCCAUUGUCUGUGGCCGUGGCGACGGAGCACGCACUGUUGGACAACAAGGUGCAUGGUAUCCGGGCCGGCUGCUAGCAGGCGAUGUGGGUCUCGACGACCUUCUACGGCUCACCGACGAGGCGUUCCGACGGGCAGAAGUCCAGGUGAGGUUGAAUUCUCCGGCAAGGCUCUCUCCCUUUCUUUCUCUUGUGUGUGUCUUCUCCUCCGCCUGGGCGUUGAUCUGAGGCAGGAGGCACAACGGUUGCAAGGUGGGACGGUGGAGGCUGUGGGAGGCCUCCAGAUAGUGUGGCCAGAAGUGGUGGUGCCGACGGCCCCGACGGCACGCGACGCAGGUCGUGCUCAACGGCCAUGGUGACGGCCAGUGCAGGGCACGUGUGACUCUGCGAUGGUGAGCACAAGGCCAUGAAGGGGCUCAUGUAGCGCGUCAUGGCGGUGUAGAUGGCUCACAGGUCGACCGUGGGCGGUGGGUGUUGGUAGAGUUUGGUGUGCUUGCGGCGGCGCGACGACUGUUGGUGCGUUUGCACGAUGGCCGUUAGAGCAUGCCCCGGCGUAUCCGAGAGCGUGAGGAAUAGGAAGCGGGUGGUUGCGCCAUUAUGUAGGGCAGCCUCCUACUGUAGCGCAAGGAACUAACUCGCCGAACUCCGGCGGGAUCGGGGCAGAGAGCAGCUCCGUGUAGAUGGCCAGCGUGUCGAGGUUCUCGAGUCGCCCGGAGGGGACCAAAGAUACAGGUCUCCGUGAGGCCGAGCAUGGUGAGAUUGGAGCAAUUGCCGAUCUCCUACUCGUGGGUUCGGCCACUCCGGUGGAGGAUGCCAUGCACCCGACAAGCACAUUGCGCACGUAGCAGAACGUGGGGCAGGCCAAUGGAGGUGUUGUCGCGUGAUCCAGAGCAUGUACGGGUGCAGCUAGAACUUCAAGGUCGUCAUGCCGCCGUGGCCGAUCAGCAAGGAAAUCCACAGCGGCACCGCAAGCGCGCGCUCCAUGCCAUGGAGCGGCUUUUUGGCGCAGCCGCCGCUAGCGUGGUCCGGAUAGUUUCUCCAACGAUGGAUGGAAUCUGGGUGGGCAGGAGGUCGAGGAGGGAGGCGGCUCGCGGCGUUCGAUCAUGAGUACGAUUGGACGACACGGGACGGCAACCCGUCGGCAGGCUGAACGGGCGCGAGCUUAGCGGCGUCAUGAACAUCAUCAACAAGCUGUGCCUCUAUGGUUCUUCUCCUAUCUCGCGUGCGUCGUCCGUCAUGCAGGAUCUGAAUCUCAAUGUCGAGGACCUCGGUGCCCGUCAGUCCUUGCUAUCCCGGGGCCUUCCUUCUUGAUCAUGGUAAUCAAUUCCUUCUCAUUACGCACUAGCAAUGUCAAUGAUACCUUUCUUUGUGGUUAUGAAUAGCCAUAUUUCGAAUUCCUUUUGUCUCACAGACGCACUGGUCAGACGGAGCAACGCGAUGCAGGCCAGCCAGAAGUACGAGCACUAUGUCAACACCACCGCUGCGCAUUCCAGGCCUGCAAGGUCAAUCUCCCGCACGAGUGGACGUAUCGAGAUGCAUAUUGCUCUCUUCUCUGCGACCAAGCAUCGACCGUCUCCCUUGGUUUCCAUGGAUCACUAUAUUUAAUUGAUCAUUAGCGCCAGGUAGAUCUUAGCUACAAGUAGGAGGUGGUGGCAGUAGCAUCAGCGUUAGGCCGGUGUUCUUUUGUGUGCGUCGUGAAACGUUAUUUUAGAUGGUUGGUGAUGGAUGCAGACGAACAACGGAGAAGAAUGAAAAAUAUUAGAGUGAAAUACUUUGAGGAAUGGUUAUUUCAGCAAUGCAUGGUUAAUUGAUUUAAUCUAUAGUAUUUUAAAUGAUUUCAAAAGAUAUUUUGAA
rnacentral:lncRNA from 1 species